GUGGGGAAUAUUGGACAUUGGGCGCAAGCCUGAUCCAGCCAUGCCGCGUGAGUGAUGAAGGCCCUAGGGUUGUAAAGCUCUUUCACCGGUGAAGAUAAUGACGGUAACCGGAGAAGAAGCCCCGGCUAACUUCGUGCCAGCAGCAGCGGUAAUACGAAGGAGGCUAGCGUUGUUCGGAAUUACUGGGCGUAAAGCGCACGUAGGCGGACAUUUAAGUCAGGGGUGAAAUCCCAGAGCUCAACUCUGGAACUGCCUUUGAUACUGGGUGUCUUGAGUAUGGAAGAGGUAAGUGGAAUUCCGCGUGUAGAGGUGAAAUUCGUAGAUAUUCGGAGGAACACCAGUUGCGAAGGCGGCUUACUGGUCCAUUACUGACGCUGAAGUGCGAAAGCGUGGGGAGCAAACAAGAAUAGAAACCCGAGUAGUCC
rnacentral:rRNA from 1 species